UGUGGGGCCUCUGUGGACCUGUGGGUCUGCCCCCCCCCCUCCCCAAUCUCGCUCUGCAGGCAGCAGGAGAUGCAGGGGAGCGGCGCAGGGCGACGCAGUGCAGAGCCUCGCGGUGGGGACGGCGCAUGCAGAGAGAGAGUCGCGAACGGCGGCGGGGCCGCUGGGGGCCGCUAUGGGGCCGUGAUGGGGUCGUUAUGGGGCUGCUGUGGGGCCAUUAUGGGGCUGCUAUGGGGCCGCUAUGGGGCAGCGGCUGUGGGGCAAUAAAGAGUUUUGCUGCUGG